AGGUUCCCUUACGAUCACCGAAGUUAAGCAUUGUUGAACCUGAUCAGUACCUAGAUAGGUGAUCGCUUGGGAAUAUCAGUUGAUG